rnacentral:rRNA from 1 species
GAUGAACGCUAGCGGCAGGCUUAAUACAUGCAAGUCGAGGGGUAGCAAGAUUGUAGCAAUACAAUUGUUGACGACCGGCAAACGGGUGCGGAACACGUACACAACCUUCCUACAAGUGGGGAAUAGCCCAGAGAAAUUUGGAUUAAUACCCCGUAACAUAGCGAUGUGGCAUCACAUUGCUAUUAUAGCUUCGGCGCUUGUUGAUGGGUGUGCGGCUGAUUAGAUAGUUGGCGGGGUAACGGCCCACCAAGUCUACGAUCAGUAGCUGAUGUGAGAGCAUGAUCAGCCACACGGGCACUGAGACACGGGCCCGGCUCCUACGGGAGGCAGCAGUAAGGAAUAUUGGACAAUGGACGCAAGUCUGAUCCAGCCAUGCCGCGUGAAGGAUUAAGGUCCUCUGGAUUGUAAACUUCUUUUAUAAGGGACGAAAAAAGGUCUUUCUAGAUCGUCUGACGGUACCUUAUGAAUAAGCACCGGCUAACUCCAUGCCAGCCGCCGCCGUAA